rnacentral:misc_RNA from 1 species
AACGCACGAGACCUGCGGACCUGCGGAGGGAUCAUUACAAAUCUUUUAUCUUUUUUUUUGUAAAAGGAGAGAGGAAGAAAAGGGGGAAAGAGAGAGAGAGUAUUAAGAAGAGGGAAUAAUUUUGAGUUAUUCUCCCUUUUGGUACUACUUGUCCCUUUUUUUCUUUAAAUCUAUUACAAAAAAAAGAUAAUAUAAGCACGAGAUCAUUCUUUUUGAAACGAAAAGAAUGAUCUUGAUGUU